UUUGGUGAAAGUUACUUCCGUCAAGGUGAUCUUGGACGGGCUUUAAAAAAAUUUCUGGCUGUGGAGAAGCACUAUGCUAAUAUCACUGAAGACCAAUUUGACUUCCAUUCUUAUUGUUUGAGGAAAAUGACUUUACGUACAUAUGUUGAAAUGCUUAAAUUUCAAGAUCGAUUGCAUUCAAAUCCAUAUUUUCAUAAAGCAGCAGUUGGUGCAAUUAGGUAAAGCAUUUAUAUUGGGUUCCACAUAUUGGAUUUAUUUUUUUAUGAUGUACUAUCAAUUAGUCGUUGAUGGAUUUUCAUAGCUUGACAAUAAAUGUGAAUUUCUGUAAAAAAAAAAAGAGCACUUGCAAUUGUGGAAUUCAGACCCCUUUAGAGAGGACUGAACAAGUUUCAAGGGAGAAAUUGAUGAUUAUUACGGAUUAGACAUCUGACCUUGGUUUUUUUUUAGGUUUUAAAUGCAAUUUGGUGUAUUGUCAGUUUUGCUGGAUUGUCAUUUUCUUGUGGUGUAAUACAUUGUUAAUUUUUGCCCUGUUUGAUAUUUAUGUGUUUAUUUAGGUAGAAGAUCCACUUUUAGAGGCUACAAGGUACUUGAAGUUGCUUCAAAAGAACUCCCCUGAUUUGUUAGAAACACAUUUGCUUUCUUUUGAAGUGAAUGUGAGAAAAUAGAAGGUUUUGCUUCCCUUUCAGGUAAGCUUUUGUUUAAGCGUGUGGCUGAGAAGCUUUUAUUUUGACCCCUCUUUUUGUCUUGAGCUGCAUAAGGCCAACUGAUGACUAAAUUGUCUUUGGAGUGCAGGCUGUAAAGCAACUACUGAGAAACGGAGCACUUGGGCCAAUCGGGGAAUGGACACUUGAGGACUGUGUUCGAGUCCACAAACUCCUAGAAACAAUUCUUUUUGACCAUGAUGCUGCUUUAAGAUGGAAGGAGCAAUGUGCCAAGUACUCUCCUUACUCCACAUACUUUGAGGGCAGACUCAGCUCUGCCAUGCCCAACUCUGUGUACAACCAAAGUAACAACUCAGAAAAUGGAAACCAUUCGGUAGUUGGACAAACUACAGAA